ensembl:misc_RNA
GUGCUUAGCCUUGGAGACUGAAGGCCUCUGCUCUUCUCCAGCAAAGGAACACUAUGAAGAGCAGCAGUGCAAGCUUACCACGCUAUAACCCGCCACGAUGCCUCCACCUUGCCCUAGAAGGAUCACCUCUACGAGUGAAAGACCAAAUCAGACUCCAUGGCCUGUUCAAAGCUUGUUCAACU